UGCUCACCUACCCGAGAACCCUACACAAGGAGGCUUCCAUUUCUGGUGAAGCACUCAGACUUCAGAGUCUAGUAAGAACUCCACUGAGCUCGCCUUCGUAUUCGAGUGACCUUUGGAUUCUGGAGUCUUCAAAUUAUAGCAGCUGUGAUACUGGUGUUGAGCUGUAACAUUUGGCUGUAACACUGAGCUGUUCCUCUUUGCCACUGCCUGACUACUGCUGGUGCCAUGAGGAUGAUGCAGGCUUCUGCCUCGCAAGAAGACAUGGUGUUGUUCUGAGCGAUGUUAAUAGUGGAAGGAUGUUGGAUAAGACUACCUUGAUCACACUCGGUGCAGAGACACUCACUCCCUAGUUUCCUGGAGUACUGCUUGCUGACAGCAGGUACUGAGGUGAGGAUUUGGAGAAAUGAAGAGAAAUUUAUAAAGGUAACUGAAGAUAAAUAUUGAUCCUUAGCCCCAAUGCAGCAAUAAAGCAUUUUAAUCAACUGUAGGUAGGAAUGGAGAAAUGGCAAGAAGAAGAAUAUUCUGUGUCCUGCUCUGCAAG
rnacentral:lncRNA from 1 species